rnacentral:tRNA from 1 species
AGUCGAAUGGCCUAGCGGUAAAGCGCGCAGCCCCUAUCCGCAAGACCGCGAGUUCGAUCCUUGCGCAGGACGU